rnacentral:rRNA from 1 species
GACGUAGGGGGCCAGCGUUGUUCGGAUUCAUUGGGCGUAAAGGGUGCGUAGGCGGCGCGGUAAGUCGGGUGUGAAAUCUCGGAGCUUAACUCCGAAACUGCAUUCGAUACUGCCGUGCUUGAGGACUGGAGAGGAGACUGGAAUUUACGGUGUAAGCGGUGAAAUGCGUAGAUAUCGUAAGGAAGACCAGUGGCGAAGGCGGGUCUCUGGACAGUUCCUGACGCUGAGGCACGAAAGCGUGGGGAGCAAACAGG